AUUGAACGCUGGCGGCAUGCCUUACACAUGCAAGUCGAACGGUAACGGGCCUUCGGGUGCCGACGAGUGGCGAACGGGUGAGUAAUACAUCGGAACGUGCCCGAUCGUGGGGGAUAACGAGGCGAAAGCUUUGCUAAUACCGCAUACGAUCUACGGAUGAAAGCAGGGGACCGCAAGGCCUUGCGCGGACGGAGCGGCCGAUGGCAGAUUAGGUAGUUGGUGGGAUAAAAGCUUACCAAGCCGACGAUCUGUAGCUGGUCUGAGAGGAUGAUCAGCCACACUGGGACUGGGACACGGCCCAGACUCCUACGGGAGGCAGCAGUGGGGAAUUUUGGACAAUGGGCGCAAGCCUGAUCCAGCCAUGUCGCGUGCAGGAUGAAGGCCUUCGGGUUGUAAACUGCUUUUGUACGGAACGAAAAGCCUUCUUUUAAUACAGGAGGGUCAUGACGGUACCGUAAGAAUAAGCACCGGCUAACUACGUG
rnacentral:rRNA from 1 species